rnacentral:lncRNA from 1 species
ACCGGUGCCGCCACCACCAGGCAACGGCGUUCCCACGCCUAGCUCCUCCUCCUCGCCGUGGUCCUGGCGCCACGACGUCCCGUCCGGUGCACCGCCCCAACCCGGAUUUCCAUCCACGAUGGUCAGACCCGCCUUUCCACCCCCACCUCCCUGCAGGAACCUUCAACUUGCAGCCGGCGGAGGCCCCCACCUCCUCGUACCUCCCUCCCUCGCUCUAGCCCAGUUGUGCCUCCGCCAUGGCCAGAUCCACCAUCGUUGCAACACCCCGCGCCCGGAUCCAGCUCCCACGAGCCCCGAAAUUCAUUCAUACAGCCGACAGGGAGGUGGUGAUGGCUGGGGGAUGCGCUCCAACACUCACCCACGGGUCCGAGGCAGCGGCCAACCAUCGGAUCGGUGCUCCCCGUGCAGCUCGGUUGCCACCCCCGUGCAGCUCGCCUGAGUAAAUUCUCUCCGGUGAGUCCACAUCGCGUCUCCACCAGUCGUUGCGUGCAGUUCGGUUACAGGGUAGGUUUCAGCACGGGAAGCACAGCAGCACUCCCACCAAAGGGCCUAGUGCGAAUGCAGCCCAGGUCGCCGCUCGGUGCAGUCCACCUCGCCAUGCGGUGACGUACACCGGCGACAAGAGCUCGGAGCAGUUCUUGGCACGUGCACGUGCAGCCCAGAACUCUCUCCACUGUCGCCCACCACCACCUCAUCCACAUCCUGUGUCCUGCGUGGCUACCACCUUGUAUCUCCCUGCCACACUCCUCCCUUCCCAAGUCUUUGACCUCGGCUCCCGAGCACACCGCGUACAUGAGCACCAGAUCCCUCGUCAUCCACUUCCUAGAAGGUCCGGCAGAGCUGCUAUGUUGCUAGCCUAUGGUGGGGACGGUGGCAGAUGUGGGCAUGGAGCAGGAGGCUGUCAUCGCUGCCGCUCGAUUUUGACCAGCUCGGAUGAGCCCGCAACUCCUCCAACAAGUUCAGAGUUUGUGUGUUCAGUGCAGUGCUGCAGUGCACUGCAGUGUAGUUUCAGUUUCAGAGUCCCGUCGAAGGCAUCGUGGUGCUAUCCUCACUUAAUAUUUGGUGUGCAUUAUAGUUCAAUCAUUUUUGUUGCUGGUGGACUGCUUGCUGGUGGAUGAGCAUCCUCGGCUGCUCGCAGUUUGCUAGGGCCAUUGAGUAACUUAUCUGUUGUCUUGAGGCAGCACAUGUUUUCUUAAAAUGGAGGCAGCACGUGUUUACUAGAGGUGCAGCCCCAAAUCAGUUCUCUCCAAUAAGCAGAAAGAAAAAGGUUUCACUUUUUUUAAGUUCACUUUGUUUUUGAACCUCGCAGGAGACUAAGUUGAUGCAGGUCGCCCGACCGAGGCCUAUGGUUCGCGAGUCCAUUUUUGGUCAAACAAAGUCAAUUUUGUGUGUGAUUUUUUUGCCGUUCACUUCUCGUAUGGGAAAAAAGUUUACUUUCACUUGAUGUGGUCCCACAAGAGGUUCACUUCUUUUAUUAAUGCACUUUUUUUUGUUAGACGAUUAGAAAAAAGGAGUCGAAGUUCACUAGAAAAAGGAGUUUACUUUGUAAAAAAUUGUACAAAGGAGUUCACUUUUUAUUAAUUUUGGAGGAAUUGUUUUUUGCAAAUUUGUAAGGACAUUGUUUAUAAUUUGUUAAAAAUUGUGCAGCUCAUUAAGAAAACCUUUGCGGUGCACUUUCCAGAACAAUAAAAAUGAUGAAUUUCAUGGUUGCUCUAAUGCAUUACACACCUGCGGUUGAGUUAACCAUAUUUUGCAG